UAAGGGCGCACGGUGGAUGCCUUGGCACUAGAAGCCGAUGAAGGACGUUACUAACGACGAUAUGCUUUGGGGAGCUGUAAGUAAGCUUUGAUCCAGAGAUUUCCGAAUGGGGAAACCCAGCAUGAGUUAUGUCAUGUUAUCGAUAUGUGAAUACAUAGCAUAUCAGAAGGCACACCCGGAGAACUGAAACAUCUUAGUACCCGGAGGAAGAGAAAGAAAAUUCGAUUCCCUUAGUAGCGGCGAGCGAAACGGGAAGAGCCCAAACCAACAAGCUUGCUUGUUGGGGUUGUAGGACACUCUAUACGGAGUUACAAAGGACGACAUUAGACGAAUCAUCUGGAAAGAUGAAUCAAAGAAGGUAAUAAUCCUGUAGUCGAAAAUGUUGUCUCUCUUGAGUGGAUCCUGAGUACGACGGAGCACGUGAAAUUCCGUCGGAAUCUGGGAGGACCAUCUCCUAAGGCUAAAUACUCUCUAGUGACCGAUAGUGAACCAGUACCGUGAGGGAAAGGUGAAAAGCACCCCGGGAGGGGAGUGAAAUAGAACCUG
rnacentral:rRNA from 1 species